GAUGGACGCUGGCGGCGUGCCUAAUACAUGCAAGUCGAGCGAACGGACGAGAAGCUUGCUUCUCUGAUGUUAGCGGCGGACGGGUGAGUAACACGUGGAUAACCUACCUAUAAGACUGGGAUAACUUCGGGAAACCGGAGCUAAUACCGGAUAAUAUUUUGAACCGCAUGGUUCAAAAGUGAAAGACGGUCUUGCUGUCACUUAUAGAUGGAUCCGCGCUGCAUUAGCUAGUUGGUAAGGUAACGGCUUACCAAGGCAACGAUGCAUAGCCGACCUGAGAGGGUGAUCGGCCACACUGGAACUGAGACACGGUCCAGACUCCUACGGGAGGCAGCAGUAGGGAAUCUUCCGCAAUGGGCGAAAGCCUGACGGAGCAACGCCGCGUGAGUGAUGGAGGUCUUCGGAUCGUAAAACACUGUUAUUAGGGAAGAACAUAUGUGUAAGUAACUGUGCACAUCUUGACGGUACCUAAUCAGAAAGCCACGGCUAACUACGUGCCAGCAGCCGCGGUAAUACGUAGGUGGCAAGCGUUAUCCGGAAUUAUUGGGCGUAAAGCGCGCGUAGGCGGUUUUUUAAGUCUGAUGUGAAAGCCCACGGCUCAACCGUGGAGGGUCAUUGGAAACUGGAAAACUUGAGUGCAGAAGAGGAAAGUGGAAUUCCAUGUGUAGCGGUGAAAUGCGCAGAGAUAUGGAGGAACACCAGUGGCGAAGGCGACUUUCUGGUCUGUAACUGACGCUGAUGUGCGAAAGCGUGGGGAUCAAACAGGAUUAGAUACCCUGGUAGUCCACGCCGUAAACGAUGAGUGCUAAGUGUUAGGGGGUUUCCGCCCCUUAGUGCUGCAGCUAACGCAUUAAGCACUCCGCCUGGGGAGUACGACCGCAAGGUUGAAACUCAAAGGAAUUGACGGGGACCCGCACAAGCGGUGGAGCAUGUGGUUUAAUUCGAAGCAACGCGAAGAACCUUACCAAAUCUUGACAUCCUUUGACAACUCUAGAGAUAGAGCCUUCCCCUUCGGGGGACAAAGUGACAGGUGGUGCAUGGUUGUCGUCAGCUCGUGUCGUGAGAUGUUGGGUUAAGUCCCGCAACGAGCGCAACCCUUAAGCUUAGUUGCCAUCAUUAAGUUGGGCACUCUAAGUUGACUGCCGGUGACAAACCGGAGGAAGGUGGGGAUGACGUCAAAUCAUCAUGCCCCUUAUGAUUUGGGCUACACACGUGCUACAAUGGACAAUACAAAGGGCAGCGAAACCGCGAGGUCAAGCAAAUCCCAUAAAGUUGUUCUCAGUUCGGAUUGUAGUCUGCAACUCGACUACAUGAAGCUGGAAUCGCUAGUAAUCGUAGAUCAGCAUGCUACGGUGAAUACGUUCCCGGGUCU
rnacentral:rRNA from 1 species